UGACAUCCAUCCAUGGAUUCGCCAUGCCAUCAAUAACGAGGCCUGGGCUCUAGGCAUAAUGAAGCAUUCUGGCCCCAAGCCUCUUUCUAUGGAGGGUUAUCCCUUUCCUUUCAGCUCGGUGUACUUGAAAAUUUUAGGCCUUUCCCAUUGUUCUAUAGAUGACUGGUUCGUCCAGAAUCUCUCUUCCUGUUGCCCCGUGUUAGACGACCAAGACUUGAUGAGUUGUGCCAUCCAUAUCACCAUGUUUUCGUCAACCAAAUUGAAGAGUUUGACCAUUACCAGUACACAACUUACUAGGGACCAUCCAUAUCUCUCUUCCUGUUGCCACUAGAAGAUUUGUUAUGUGCUGAAUUGGUGAGUAUAUUCAUGACCUGGCAGUGCAACUUACUAGUAUUUUUAUGGUGAAAUGGGUAUUUUGGUCCCUCAACUUUAUCAUGAGGAUCAAGUUUGUCUCUCAACUUUAUCUCAAGAGUCAACUUUUAAAUUGGCC
rnacentral:lncRNA from 1 species